AGAGUUUGAUCAUGGCUCAGGAUGAACGCUAGCGGCAGGCAUAAUACAUGCAAGUUGAACGGGAUCAGUUGAGUAGCAAUACAAGACUGUGAGAGUGGCGCACGGGUGCGUAACGGGUAUGCAACCUGCAUUCGUCUGGGGGAUAGCCCCUCGAAAGAGGGAUUAAUACCGCAUAACAUGGUUGGAAGGCAUCUUUCGGCCAUCAAAGCUCCGGCGGACGAAUAUGGGCAUGCUUGACAUUAGCUAGUUGGUGAGGUAAUGGCUCACCAAGGCUACGAUGUCUAGGGGGUCUGAGAGGAUGCUCCCCCACACUGGUACUGAGACACGGACCAGACUCCUACGGGAGGCAGCAGUAGGGAAUAUUGGGCAAUGGACGCAAGUCUGACCCAGCCAUGCCGCGUGCAGGAUGACGGCCCUAUGGGUUGUAAACUGCUUUUAUACGGGAAGAAUAAGCCUCACGUGUGAGGUGAUGACGGUACCGUAAGAAUAAGGAUCGGCUAACUCCGUGCCAGCAGCCGCGGUAAUACGAAGGAUCCAAGCGUUGUCCGGAUUUAUUGGGUUUAAAGGGUGCGUAGGCGGCUUAUUAAGUCAGUGGUGAAAGUUUGCGGCUUAACCGUAAAAUUGCCAUUGAAACUGAUAAGCUUGAGUGUGGUUGAGGUAGCUGGAAUGUGUCAUGUAGCGGUGAAAUGCUUAGAUAUGAUACAGAACACCAAUUGCGAAGGCAGGUUACUAAGCCAUUACUGACGCUGAGGCACGAAAGCGUGGGGAUCAAACAGGAUUAGAUACCCUGGUAGUCCACGCUGUAAACGUUGAACACUCGUUGUUGGCGAUAAACAGUCAGCGACUAAGCGAAAGCGUUAAGUGUUCCACCUGGGGAGUACGACCGCAAGGUUGAAACUCAAAGGAAUUGACGGGGGCCCGCACAAGCGGAGGAGCAUGUGGUUUAAUUCGAUGAUACGCGAGGAACCUUACCUGGGCUUGAAUGUGAGUGACCGCCCCGGAAACGGGGCUUCUCUUCGGAGCACAAAACAAGGUGCUGCAUGGCUGUCGUCAGCUCGUGCCGUGAGGUGUUGGGUUAAGUCCCGCAACGAGCGCAACCCCUAUGUCUAGUUGCCAUCAGGUUAAGCUGGGGACUCUAGACAGACUGCCUACGUAAGUAGUGAGGAAGGUGGGGACGACGUCAAGUCAUCAUGGCCCUUACGUCCAGGGCUACACACGUGCUACAAUGGGUGUUACAAUGGGUCGCAACACAGCAAUGUGAAGCCAAUCCCAAAAAAGCACCCUCAGUUCGGAUUGGAGUCUGCAACUCGACUCCAUGAAGUUGGAUUCGCUAGUAAUCGCAUAUCAGCAAUGAUGCGGUGAAUACGUUCCCGGGCCUUGUACACACCGCCCGUCAAGCCAUGGGAGUUGGGAGAACCUGAAGUCGAUAACCGUAAGGAGUCGCCUAGGGUUAUACCGAUGACUGGGGCUAAGUCGUAACAAGGUAACCGUA
rnacentral:rRNA from 1 species